rnacentral:rRNA from 1 species
GAUGAACGCUGGCGGCGUGCCUAAUACAUGCAAGUCGAGCGAACGGACGAGAAGCUUGCUUCUCUGAUGUUAGCGGCGGACGGGUGAGUAACACGUGGAUAACCUACCUAUAAGACUGGGAUAACUUCGGGAAACCGGAGCUAAUACCGGAUAAUAUUUUGAACCGCAUGGUUCAAAAGUGAAAGACGGUCUUGCUGUCACUUAUAGAUGGAUCCGCGCUGCAUUAGCUAGUUGGUAAGGUAACGGCUUACCAAGGCAACGAUGCAUAGCCGACCUGAGAGGGUGAUCGGCCACACUGGAACUGAGACACGGUCCAGACUCCUACGGGAGGCAGCAGUAGGGAAUCUUCCGCAAUGGGCGAAAGCCUGACGGAGCAACGCCGCGUGAGUGAUGAAGGUCUUCGGAUCGUAAAACUCUGUUAUUAGGGAAGAACAUAUGUGUAAGUAACUGUGCACAUCUUGACGGUACCUAAUCAGAAAGCCACGGCUAACUACGUGCCAGCAGCCGCGGUAAUACGUAGGUGGCAAGCGUUAUCCGGAAUUAUUGGGCGUAAAGCGCGCGUAGGCGGUUUUUUAAGUCUGAUGUGAAAGCCCACGGCUCAACCGUGGAGGGUCAUUGGAAACUGGAAAACUUGAGUGCAGAAGAGGAAAGUGGAAUUCCAUGUGUAGCGGUGAAAUGCGCAGAGAUAUGGAGGAACACCAGUGGCGAAGGCGACUUUCUGGUCUGUAACUGACGCUGAUGUGCGAAAGCGUGGGGAUCAAACAGGAUUAGAUACCCUGGUAGUCCACGCCGUAAACGAUGAGUGCUAAGUGUUAGGGGGUUUCCGCCCCUUAGUGCUGCAGCUAACGCAUUAAGCACUCCGCCUGGGGAGUACGACCGCAAGGUUGAAACUCAAAGGAAUUGACGGGGACCCGCACAAGCGGUGGAGCAUGUGGUUUAAUUCGAAGCAACGCGAAGAACCUUACCAAAUCUUGACAUCCUUUGACAACUCUAGAGAUAGAGCCUUCCCCUUCGGGGGACAAAGUGACAGGUGGUGCAUGGUUGUCGUCAGCUCGUGUCGUGAGAUGUUGGGUUAAGUCCCGCAACGAGCGCAACCCUUAAGCUUAGUUGCCAUCAUUAAGUUGGGCACUCUAAGUUGACUGCCGGUGACAAACCGGAGGAAGGUGGGGAUGACGUCAAAUCAUCAUGCCCCUUAUGAUUUGGGCUACACACGUGCUACAAUGGACAAUACAAAGGGCAGCGAAACCGCGAGGUCAAGCAAAUCCCAUAAAGUUGUUCUCAGUUCGGAUUGUAGUCUGCAACUCGACUACAUGAAGCUGGAAUCGCUAGUAAUCGUAGAUCUGCAUGCUACGGUGAAUACGUUCCCGGGUCU